UGGGGGAUAUUGCACAAUGGAGGAAACUCUGAUGCAGCAACGCCGCGUGAAGGAAGAAGGUUUUCGGAUCGUAAACUUCUGUCCUUGGGGAAGAAGAAAGUGACGGUACCCAUGGAGGAAGCCACGGCUAACUACGUGCCAGCAGCCGCGGUAAUACGUAGGUGGCAAGCGUUGUCCGGAUUUACUGGGUGUAAAGGGCGUGUAGGCGGGUUUUUAAGUUAGAUGUGAAAUACCGGGGCUCAACCCCGGGGCUGCAUUUAAAACUGAAGAUCUUGAGUACCGGAGAGGAAAGCGGAAUUCCUAGUGUAGCGGUGAAAUGCGUAGAUAUUAGGAGGAACACCAGUGGCGAAGGCGGCUUUCUGGACGGCAACUGACGCUGAGGCGCGAAAGCGUGGGGAGCAAACAGG
rnacentral:rRNA from 1 species